rnacentral:rRNA from 1 species
AACGAACGCUGGCGGCAUGCCUAACACAUGCAAGUCGAACGAAGCCUUCGGGCUUAGUGGCGCACGGGUGCGUAACGCGUGGGAAUCUGCCCUUUGGUUCGGAAUAACAGUUGGAAACGACUGCUAAUACCGGAUGAUGACGAAAGUCCAAAGAUUUAUCGCCAGAGGAUGAGCCCGCGUAGGAUUAGCUAGUUGGUGUGGUAAAGGCGCACCAAGGCGACGAUCCUUAGCUGGUCUGAGAGGAUGAUCAGCCACACUGGGACUGAGACACGGCCCAGACUCCUACGGGAGGCAGCAGUGGGGAAUAUUGGACAAUGGGCGAAAGCCUGAUCCAGCAAUGCCGCGUGAGUGAUGAAGGCCCUAGGGUUGUAAAGCUCUUUUACCCGGGAUGAUAAUGACAGUACCGGGAGAAUAAGCCCCGGCUAACUCCGUGCCAGCCGCCGCUGUAA